rnacentral:rRNA from 1 species
CCUACGGGUGGCUGCAGUGAGGAAUAUUGGUCAAUGGGCGAAAGCCUGACGCAGCAACGCCGCGUGAACGAGACGCCCUUCGGGGUGUAAAGUUCUGUCAGUGGGGACGAAAAAUGACGGUACCCACAGACGAAGCACCGGCUAAGUCCGUGCCAGCAGCCGCGGUAAUACGGAGGGUGCAAGCGUUGUCCGGAUUCAUUGGGCGUAAAGGGUUCGUAGGCGGCAUGUAAAGUCAGGGGUUAAAGGCGCAGGCUCAACCUGUGUAUGGCACUUGAUACUUGCGAGCUGGAAUGCGGUAGAGGUAGAGGGAAUUCCUGGUGUAGCGGUGAAAUGCUUAGAUAUCAGGAAGAACAUCGGUGGCGUAGGCACUUUACUGGGCCGUAAUUGACGCUGAGGAACGAAAGCGAGGGUAGCAAAUGGGAUUAGAUACCCGAGUAGUC